rnacentral:tRNA from 1 species
GGAGAGAUGGCAGAGUUCGGUUGAUUGCGCACGACUCGAAAUCGUGUGUGCUGGAAACAGUACCGUGGGUUCAAAUCCCACUCUCUCCGCCA